rnacentral:lncRNA from 1 species
UACGUUCAAAUUAUCUAAAAGACACAACAUAUAUAUACUUUUCGAAAACAUGCUAAACACCAACUACUCCUAAAGUUUGAGUGAGGGAAAGACAACUUAGCUAAAAGAAUCUCUAUUUUUGGAUUUUCUAAUUUUUCAUUUUUUAGGGUUUUCAUUUUUUAGAGAAUUACACUAAAGCCCUCCCCAUACCUAAAUCAUGCAUUGUCCUCAAUGUAUGCAAAAG